UGCAUGAAUGUUUUUCUAGUUUUCAAAAAAAAAUAAAAAAAAUUCUUUUUCAAAAAAGACAAUAAAACUAGUUUUUCUUGUUUUUUAUUAUUUUUAUUUAAAUAUGUGUGUUUUUCAAUUGUUGCCCCUUUCUAUAAUAAAAGGCUAGAAAAAAAAAAUGAAAGUUGUAUUUGUCGAUUGAUCGAGCUAAACAGACAAACAUGAAAGUUGUAAUUUUUUAAAGUAUUCUUGAAAAUCUAUAAAUUCAAACAAAUAUUUAUCGAAACAAAUAAACAAAAACAUAGAACUUUUGCAACAUAAAGUGGUUAAUAAGUUUUUAGUUGUUGCAAGCUUAGAAGAAAAAAUAUGACAAAAAUUAUUAAAUUUGUUUAUUUAUUAAUCCUCUUUAUUUCCUUAUUUCUUGUUUUACCGGAAGCUAGUGCAGUAACACCAACGCCAUGUAAAUAUGAUUAUGAAUGUAAAUUCAUUAAAUGUGGUCUUUAUGUUGGAAAAUGCGUUUUUCGCAUAUGUGAAUGUCGUCAUCGAUUAGAAAAUCGUCAUCGAUUUGAAAAUUGGUAAGAGAUUAAUUGCAACCUCAAAAGACGAAGUUUAAAUCUCAAUUGAGACAAAUGUAAAAUGAUCAUUAGAAUCACCGUUAUUUAUAAUAAAUUUAUCUUUCCCA